GCUUCUUUAUCUGGAGUAUGGGCUGGUCCAAAUGCUACCAGAGACCACAGUCAUAAAUUGCAACCGCUGGUAGAUUGCAUUUUGUCACUGGGAAGAACUCUGGAGAAAAAGCACGUGUCUGGUGUGACUGAGACUGAGACUGGUGGACUCGCCCGUAGGCUGAAGAAAAUGUUGGUAGAGCUCAAUGAAUAUGAUUAUGCCAGGGAAAUAGCAAGGACCUUCCAUGUCAAGGAGGCGUUGUAAACCAAGUUGGAAGGAGAAAUAAAAAAUCAACAGUGUCACGAAUGUUUAUAACCAUGUGGACUUGCCCUUAAAAGUUGACAAACCUUCGAGAUAAACCAACGUAAUACAGUGGAAAGAAUCACUGUUAAAGUUGACAGAGCCACCAGGGCCAGGGACAGUCGUCUCAAGCUGAAAAAUAGAAGAAAAAGAGCCGCGGACCUGACACGAAGAGCAUAUGAAGGAUCCAUCUCAAGAAGCCAGAUCUUCUCUCUUCUAAUGACUUGAUAUGAUUCUUGGAGUCUUGGCUGGCAAGAUGAGGAUUUUUCGGAGGUAGAAUAUCUAAGAAGCAAUUAUGUGAUUCCUUUGAUGAUCUAAGUGUGGGACUUCACCGUGAAUGUUUCCUCAGCUGUAAUUUUGAUUGAAAAAAAAUGAAUCCAAUGGUAGAAUUUAUGCAGUUCCUUUUAGGUUUCCAGGAUAACUAAUUACCCGUUGACUUCAAAAUCAACUGCCCACUAUUCAUAUUCUUAAUCCAUGGGAGUUCAUAAAUUCUAGCAGCAUUUUGGUGUAUCUACCUUGUUAUGUGACAUUUUAUAGUAAUUUGCUAACCAGACUUGUCACUCAUCAAGGAGGGGGGCUGUCUCUCUUUUUGGAUUUUUGGGA